GCUCCUGCUGCGGGCAACAAGCAGAGGAAGUGAAAGCGCAGAGUACAAGGAGAGCAGGGGAGGGAGCAAGCUCAACCCCAGGCUGCGGGCUUCCUUCCUGCCUGCCGGCCCCAGUCCCCUGCGCAGCAAAGGAGGGAAGGGGCGGGCCACCCGAGGGUUGAAAGCGGGGUUCCGCGUCUCUAGUAUCCCUACAGUAAAGGGGACAGGGACAGACUGACAAGUAAGACCCAUGUAAAGGCAGACUUGGUCGAGUGUGGCUGUAGCCCCAGAACUCCUACUUGAGAGGGGAGAGAGGAACAGGUGAAUCCCCAAAAACCUGAUGUACAGAGUGAGACUAGACUGUCUCAAAACAUAUGGGAGGGCAGGAGUAGACCUAACAGAAUGCUGGGAGAAAGAAGAGUCAGUCAGACACCUUGGAGCCAGCUUCCAGAUCAGUUCUACAGGAGAGCAGGCGGAGAGGGUCGUGAGGGCCAUGCCCCUUCUGCUGGUCACUGUGGAUGCUGAGAUAAGCUUAUGAGGGGACAGACUGAGGAAGUAGUCCUGAGGAGGCGAGGGCCCUGGCACAGUAAGUCCAUUGUUGUUCUCAGGGGUGUCAGAGUGUUGGUGGCUGACAGAGUGGAAUUGGGGGC